UUGGUUUCAGAGCUGAUGUUCUAAAAACCAAAUGAUUGUCCAGGUGCCAGCUGUUCCCACAGAUCGCUCCUGGCUGGCAGGAUGCAGACUUUUGCCCCCGAUCUCAUACAAGGAGCCACAGAAGAGCCAGAAACAGACUCUGAAGCUGUUCUGUGUCUAAAGCCAAAGUAGGUUCCUGUCCAAGGUCCCAGCCUGACUCCAAGUGCAUGACAUUGACAUAGUCCUGCCCCUGACCCCCAGAUCCUUGCUGAGCUAAGGCUGACGUAGCCUCAGCUAAGACCAUGUGUGCCACUACUGCCUGUAUGAUAGGUGACAGGCCGUGCUGCCCUGCCAGCCAGAGCUGGAGGCUGGGUUACAGGACAACAGGUAGAUCAGUGGCCGAGUUGCUUCUCACCUGGAUCCAUUGCUGUGUGAAUGGCUGCAGUAUGGAGAUAACCCAGUUCUGCUGCCCCUCUACCUACUGGCUGGAAUAUUCCAGAAAGGAUCAUCCGUCCGGACACCGGGCAAUACCAUGUUUCUGGAUGAUCUUUUCCUGGUCAUUUUGCUGCUCUUCCAGCAGGGGAGGAAGCUGAGGUUCCCAGGCUACGUGUGAUCUGAUUUUGAUCUCUACACACUGCCUGCAGCUUCACUCCUGAGUAUUGGAACGACAGAUGUGUACCAAUAUCCAGCUCUGUCCUGGAUUGUGGACCCAGACUCCUAAGGACUGCCUGCAGUGACUCCUGUGGAACAGGCAGGCCCUGUCCCUGCCCUACUGCAUUGUGGGUCUAGUGUCAUCGUAACUCAGAACACUCAUGGCCAGGAUGAAGAACAGGUUGAUCUUGCCACAUGCCCCCAGGGAGCUGACGGUUCCAAGGGAGAGGAGUCCUGCUCAAGGAGUCUGGAGUUAGGACGGUGUCUCACAGAACAGGGCAGUGCCAUGUCAGGUAGUGUGGCCAGCCAUGGAUUGGUGGGGCUGUUUGUUCCACAGUGAAAGCUGAAACCCGACUAAGCCACGUGGAGACCGGUGCUCACCAUACAAGCUGAUCUGAAUAAAUGAGUUC